AAAUUACCCAGUAUCAGGUAUUGUCUUUAUUAGCAGCGUGAGAACAGACUAAUACAGUACACUACAAUUUAGACUUCUAGUGACUAUACCUGGAGCCCCCUGUUCUCCACCUCUCUCUCACAGGUACACACACAACCAUCCACUUAUUGAAGAGGAUGAGCAAGGGCACAGCCUCAAGCCCACUGCCUGUGUUUGAAUUCUGAGUGGUUUGCUAACUAUGUAGAUUUGGGCAAAUCACUUAAAACUCGUUUUCUUGUCUGAAAAAUUGAUAGUAAAGGUGCUUACCUUGCGGGCUAUUGCAAAGGACAAAAUAAAGUCUAGUAUGUGUAUUUGUUCGUCACUGCAUUUCCAGAGCCUAGAACAGGGCCUGGUGUGCAGUAGGUGCACAAUGCGUGUCCGUGGAACCAGCAGCAGGCCCUCUACCUGCCUGCCAGUGCAGGCACUGGUCAGUCACCAUGACAAAGCUGAUCUGCCUGCCCCUCACACACUUGCUCCCCAAUCCCUUCACUUGGUGACAGCCUUCCCCGACACCCUUGGGCGCCCGGCCCCUGGGACGCCUGUGGAGCUGUUGGGGAGAAGGAAAUCUGAGGCCCCCACAUCCUGACCCAGGACCAGCUGGCCUUGCGGAUUCCAGAACUUUCUGAAGCAGCCAGCCGGCCACCAGCCAGGAAGCGGAAGGUGCAGAAAUAGAAACGCACAGAGAGGCAAUUGCUCCUUUUGCCCUGCAAGGAAGGGAAGCCGGGGGAGAGGGGCCAGGAGAGGAAGCUGAGGGGCAGAGGAGAGGAUGGGGAGGCCAAGGACGGCGGGAUGGGGUUCCAGAGCUUGCCGGACCUCGGCCCCCGCCUGCUCCCAUGUCCAGUGCCCUGGGUCAGGGCUGUGGGGAGCAGCUUUCAACACCUUCAUUUUCCUGACAAGAUCCCAAAAUGAGGAGCUCUGAUUUGCUCUGAAUGCGACUUGAAGCCAGGCCCCGGGGAAAGUAUUUGUGGCAACUUUCAAGGGUUGAUGCUGUGGCUGGCAGCAGAGGUGGGGGGCAGGAGGGGGGUGCUCACAAUGGUCGUUGGCUGACUGACUGACUGAAUGAAUGAAUGAAUGAGUGAGUGAGUUGUGGCCAGCCCUAUACCCCAGCAGAGCCACUGGGCUUGAGGACAGGACCCUGCCUGCUGGCCACGUACCUAGACAGCCACAGACAGAAAACACGCUUAGCAGGCUGCACUGAGGCGGAGAAAUGAGAUCUGGCCCCAGCUCAGCUCUGCUGCAUCCCAGGUCAUCCGAGGAUGUCACUGGCCUUCUCAGCCUCACACCCCUUCCUCCCAGUCUGGGAGUAUAGCAGGAGGCCCCCCAAAAGUGUCCUCUAGUCCAGACUCCCCCACUGCAGCCAGCCUACAUUCUAGAGCUGACAUGGGCCAAGACCAGGAAGGAAGGGCCACCUUCCCUGAAGGACACUGACUCCUCAACCCCUGUGCUCAGCCGACCUUGCGAAGUUGGAAACACACUGCCCUCCUAGGCUGAGCUGAGCCCUUCCCAGCUCGCAGCCCAGCGGGUCCCUGAGGUCCCAUAGAGGGGGCUGGCAGUGGCUUCUUCCAGGCAGGGCCCCAAUGCCCACCACCCACCUUGGAAGGUCUGGCUGGAGGGGUCUCUGAGGACAGGGACCAUGACAAGGUUCCCCUUGCCUCCCCCAUGCUAUGGCCCUGGCCCUCCUGCAGAGCCCACGGUCCUGGCAGGGGCCACACAGGAUCCCUGCACCCGUGGCCCAACCACAGGCUCGGCCACCAUGCACACGGCACAAGCAUCUGCUCCCUGGCCUUCCUGACAGGCAGCGGGCGCCCUGGCACUGGCGGGCGGGCAGGCGGCGUGUGCAGGUUGGGGCCGCCCAGGGGCAGGAGUGCAGGCCUGCAGUUGACAAGGCCUGGUUUCCUGCUCUCACUCUGGGGAGGAAGAGGAAGAUGACAAGCAAACCAGUGCUUGUCAAGGAGUCAUCUAAACACGCACUCAGAGGCCACUUCCAAAGACCGCCCUGAGGCAGUCCAGGGUCCAUCGCCGACCACCCUCCCCAAAAAAGAAUGACAUCAGCCAGGUGACAGCAGCAGGCAGGUACAGAUGGGGUCCUCUAGGGAUGGCAGAUUGCCAGGGAGCCUGGUCACCCUUCCCUAAGGGUCAACUCAGUUUCUCAGCCAUGGACCAAGGUGCCCCUUUGUCCUGUGAACUUUGAGAAGCAGAGGGCCCUUCUCUUUGGAGUCUGAGAGAAGCCCAGGAGAAGAAGGAAUGAAACCCUGCACAUCUCAUCUUCUUAAAAUGCAGAUUCAGGCCUGUUUUUCCAAGUCCAUCACCAAACACAAGGUCUUUCCAAAUUAGGUGCUGAGCUGAGCUCAUAUUCCCAAAAUGCACACUCCCCUCCUUUUUUUUUUUUUUUUGCUUGGGAAUGCU
ensembl:lncRNA LINC02956 long intergenic non-protein coding RNA 2956